GUCUCGGGCUCCCAAGAGUGACCCCUAGUGUCACUACAUCGACACCAACGUCUCGUUCCCUCCAUCAGGGAACGGAGGUUACACCAGUAACCAUGACGUUUUCCAGUCAUGGAAAAAUCUUUGAAAAUUAGAAAAAUACCUAAAUGUCCUGGAAAAUAAUUAUUUGUCCUGGAAAACUGUUUGACUGUGUUGCUAAAAAGGUUUUUGUUACAUGUACAAAAUCAUGGUAAUGAUCGGUACUCGGGAUAGGAGUCAAAUACACACAUACAUAUCAAUUUGUCACUGUUGGCGGCUGCGCACUGUGAAAAAACAUCAUCGGUUUACAGACAUAAAGCACGUACAUUCUGUGCUCAUCUUCUGAAAUAGUUUAAGUGCCAAUAUAGUGCAAAAUAUGAUUUUAUUAUUUUUAUUUUUGGAUUUGAUGGCUGUAGUGUUAACUACAAAACAUUUGAGUUGUAAACUUUAGAUAAUGACAACGGUCAGAACGCUGCUAAAUAAGGUGGAAAUGCGUCAUCAAAGUCUGUGAAAAGGGUCCAUUUAACCACAAAAGGCACAGAAGAUUUAAUUGAAUUAAUAUUUAAUCUGCGUGUGCUACACACUUCAAAAUGAAUGUGUAAGGCUGCCCCCUCAUACACUGUAAACACUGCUUUGUGAUUAUCAGCAGCUUGUAAAUAUAUAUUGUGAAAAUGAUGGGAAAUUUUCCACCUCGUGUGAAACCGAGAGCCAAGAUGUUCUUGUUUUUGAGUAAAGGAUAACUUGUACCACCUCAUAACCCCUCCCACUAUUGCUGAUAUAAAAUCCACAAGAGCAAAAAUAUCACCUUAAAUAUACCUUUACUGUUUCAUCUAAUAUAAGUCGUAGUGUUAGCAGGAUACAAGACGAUCAGGCAGGCACUUGUGAACCUUUCUGAUGAAUUUGGAGACUGGGAUAUUACCCCCAUAUUCCAUGGUUGCAAUCAGGGACUUGGGAUUUUAUUUCCCAUUGGUGAAAACUGGACACAAAUGAGACGCUUUGCUCUCUCAAAUCUACAAGACUUUGGGAUGCUCACCCCACUGCAGGAAAACCAUUUGAUUCAACACUGCCUGUGAACCUCGCCGUUUCAAACAUCAUUGCAGCUAUUGUCUAUGGCAAUAGAUUUGAGUUCAGCAACUAUCGGUUACAUCAAAUGGUUAGACGAGCCUACGAGAACAUGAAGAUGAUUUAUCUCAGCUUCAGUUCAACUAUUCAGUCAUUUCUGUUUACGUCCACCAUAAUUCAUACACUGAUAGAUAUUUACCAGCUGUUUUUAUUCCAAUAUUUAAUUUUAUAAAUAAUUUAUUAAUGAUGGGAACAUUUGAUUUUGGAGUAUUUGUCUCAGUGAGUACAUUGUUCACUGGUACAUUCAGAUUAUUUUUCAUUCCGAUGUUUGUAGCUCUACAACCUGUUUCCUUGGCUUCAUCCUUUUGUGAAGAGUCACAAACGUAUUGUGAAGAGAGCGAAGACCUGGUAAAAGGUCUGCAAAAGACUCUGAACCCUCAGGAUCCCAGAGGACUGCAGAAAGAUGAGGACGCAGAAUGUGUGUUGGAGAGAGUUUGGACAGAAUGGAGCUCUUCCUGUUUUUCACCUCCCUCCUUCAGAACUUCCGCUUCACUCCUCCACCUGAAGUGUCUGAAGAUGAGCUCGACCUCACACCAUCUGUUGGGUUCACGCUCAACAUGUCUCCACACAAACUGUGUGCAGUGAAACUCUCUUAAUAACAUCAAUCUGCUAUAGAAUGUCACUUCGAUUUCUUCAUUUCCUCACAGCUGUGUUGCAUUUAGCUUUUCACUGGAAACGCAUUAAAUGUGCAUCCUAUUUUUAGAUCAGUAACCAUAAUGCCUUUGCUGUUCUAAAGUUUAGAGUUAACCUAAUAUUUAUACACAACUAUCAUGAUAAAAUCCCCAACUGGUUCUUAAUAAUAAUUGUGAAUUUUGUGACAACUGAUGAAAGAAUUAUCACUUUAAUUAGACAGCUUCUGAAAACAAAGUGGUUGAAAUGCCAAUGGUAACUAUUGUUUCUUUAAAUGAACAAUGAGGAUUUUAAUAUUGAAAGCUGUGCCAAUUCUCAUUAAUAUUUAAAAAGACUUUAGUGAUAUUACCAUGUAACAUCAAUAAAGAAAGAUACAUCUCGUUUGGUUAUUUAUUCAUUUGGGUUUCCUUAAAGAGAUAGUUCACCCAAAAAUGAAAAUUCUCUCAUCAUUUACUCACCCUCAUGCCAUCCCAGAUGUGUAUGACUUCCUUUCUUCUGCAGAACACAAAUGAAGAUAUUCAGAAGACUAUUUCAGCUCUGUAGAUCCAUACAAUGCAAGUGAAUGGUGACCAGAACUUUGAAGGUCCAAAAGCACAUAAAGACUCCAGUGGUUUAAUCCAUUUCAUAUGAAGCGCAAUGAAAGGUGUGGAUGAAAAACAGAUCAAUAUUUAAGUUGUUUUUUAAUAUAAAUCACCACAUUUACAUUCUUCUUUUGUUUUUGGCUAUUCACAUUCUUCUUGCAUAUUGCCACCUACUGGGCAGGUAGAGGAAUUUAUAGCAAAAAUGGACUUAAAUAUUGAUCUGUUUCUCACCCACCCCUAUCAUAUGUCUUUAUGUCUUCAUUCUGAAGACAUAAAAAACUUCAUUUAUGUUCAGCAGAAGAAAGAAAGUCAUACACAUCUGGGAGUGGUUGGUGAGUAAAAAAUGAGCGAAUUUUCAUUUUUGUAUUAACUAUACCUUUAACAUUAAAUUUACACAUUUGGCAGACACCUUUAUUCAGUAUGGAUGGAUGGAACCUCUUUCUUGUUCCCAGCAUAUAUGGAGGAAAUCCUUUCCUUACCUGACAAGUACUGCUCACUUGUGUUUUAUUUGAAGACUCGCAGAUUUAACUAAAACUUUUUUCUCAGACCGUUGACUCAUUUUCGCCUUAUUUAGCAGCGUAAAUCUAGCAAACUUUUGGACACGUGCAAAGUCAACUUUGGAUAUAGUUAAUUCAAGGUCAAGUUGAUGGAGGAAAAGUGCAUAAAGAAAGAGGGAGAAUGAGAAAGAAAAAAGGUACUGUAGUGUUAUGCAUUGUAGUUCAUAGUAGUCAGAUUGUGUGUGGGGUUUUUUUAUAUAUAUAUAUAAUGUAUUGUCAGACAUAUAUUUUUAGAAAGUUGGCACAACCAGGGGGAAAGUGGACACAUUUUUAUUUGCUGUUUGUACAGUCUAGUGCUGUCACAAAGACCGAUGAGGUAUCUCAGGACACUUACUACUUCAGUGAUAUCUCUCAGGAUGAAGGAAUAUUUUCUCCAUACCAUUCUAAAAAAAUAAAUAAUAAAUAAAUAAAAAAUAAAAAGGCUUACAGCACCUUUAAGAGAAAAUUUAUGUAAAUGUGUGUCAUUGAAGAGGGCCCCAUUCCUGUACUUUGCCUAGGGCUCCCAAAUCACUAAAUCCGCCCCUGGCUUGACUAGACACACCCAGUCCUGAUAUGCCAAGGUUAAAAGAAAUUCCAGAAAUGAUGUGGAAAAAGGUGAUUGAAAUACACCAGUCUGGGAAGGGUUACAGUGCUGUUUCAAAGGCUCUGGGACUCUGAAGAACCACAGUGAGAGCCAUUAUCUCCAAAUGGAGAAAAUUUGGCACAGUAGUGAACCUUCCCAGAAGUGGCCGACCUUCCAAAAUUCCUCCAAGAGCACAGCGACGACUCAUCCAGGAAGUCACAAAAAAGCCUAGGACAACAUCCAAGGAACUGCAGGCCUCUCUCGCAUCAAUAAAGGUCACUGUUCAUGACUCCACUAUCAGAAAGACACUGGCCAAAAAUGGCAUCCAUGGAAGAGUGGUGAGGCGAAAACCACUGCUAACCCAGAGGAACAUUAAGGCUUGUCUGAAUUUUGCCAAAACACACCUUGAUGAUCCUCAAACCUUUUGGGAGAAUGUUCUGUGGACUGAUGAGUCGAAAGAGGAACUGUUUGGAAGACAGGGUUACAGGACAAGUUACAUCUGGCAUAAAUCAAGCACA